CCUACGGGAGGCAGCAGUGGGGAAUUUUGGACAAUGGGGGCAACCCUGAUCCAGCCAUGCCGCGUGAGUGAAGAAGGCCUUCGGGUUGUAAAGCUCUUUCGGCCGGAACGAAAUCGCGCACGUGAAUAACGUGCGUGGAUGACGGUACCGGAGUAAGAAGCACCGGCUAACUACGUGCCAGCAGCCGCGGUAAUACGUAGGGUGCGAGCGUUAAUCGGAAUUACUGGGCGUAAAGCGUGCGCAGGCGGUUCGCUAAGUCAGACGUGAAAGCCCCGGGCUUAACCUGGGAACGGCGUUUGAAACUGGCGGGCUCGAGUACGGCAGAGGGGGGUGGAAUUCCACGUGUAGCAGUGAAAUGCGUAGAUAUGUGGAGGAACACCGAUGGCGAAGGCAGCCCCCUGGGCCGAUACUGACGCUCAUGCACGAAAGCGUGGGGAGCAAACAGGAUUAGAUACCCUGGUAGUCCACGCCCUAAACUAUGUCAACUAGUUGUCGGGGAAGCAAUUCCUUGGUAACGCAGCUAACGCGUGAAGUUGACCGCCUGGGGAGUACGGUCGCAAGAUUAAAACUCAAAGGAAUUGAGG
rnacentral:rRNA from 1 species